AUUCUUACUUCAGACACUAGUCCCACUUCUUUGGUUAUCUAUAUUCUGAGCCCACAAAUCAGAGGCAUCCAGCUGAAAAAGCUGAAAGCUUCUAGAAUGGCACUAUCCACUACGGUAGCCAGUGGCCCCCUGUGGCUACUGUGCACUUAAAAUGUGGCCAGUCCUAACUGCAAUGUGCUGGCUAGGGGAUAAGAAUGCAGCAGUGAACACGGUUCCUGCACUCAUGAAGCAAAUGUAUCCACUGUGGUACAAAAGAGACUGUAAAAAACAAACCCAAAUGGACAACAGAGUUCUGAACCAUCCUGUGACAAGUCUAGUUACCCUAAAGCUGUCAUGCAGGAGAGACCAUGUGGAGAGAAGGAGAGUUAGAGAGAGGAGGAGCCCCUGCUGUUUGAGUAUUCUCAGCCCAGACACCAGACAUGAGUGAGGAAGCAUUCAGACCCCAACUCCAGUUUAAAAACACCACCACUCAACAGCCUGUUUUCUGAGCCUAUGACCACAUAUAUGCUGCAGAACCCUUUCAGGGUGUAUCUGAAACUACUUCUCUUAAAGGCAAGCUCUAACUGGUGCCAGAAAAGACAGAAGCUGAUUGAGGUCCCAGCUUGGUAACAGUUUGAAGAGUUGCAGGACUGGCUGGAUGAGUACUGGCUGCAGCAAGUCAGGCUGCCAGGAUUCUUUAUGGCUGUUUCUGCUUCCACUACAGCUGAGUCAGAAAGGUCGCUGCCCAGUGGUGGCACUAGACGCAG
rnacentral:antisense_RNA from 1 species